rnacentral:sRNA from 1 species
UUUGAUUCUCUGAAAAUCAGAUAGAAAUGCAUGACUAUGUAUGGUCGUGAGGUAAUAUUUCUUAGUUAUAAAGACAAAAUCAUAUAUAUGAAAGUUGGUCAACUCUCUAUAAGUGACACAUCAUCAUACAAGAAAAUGACAUGUGUCAUUCUAUAUUAAUUAAAUAAAAAAUUAAUA